GGAGCAAACACAAAAAGACAGUCUCAGUUCAGAUUGUAGGCUGAAACUCGCCUAUAUGAAGUCGGAAUUGCUAGUAAUGGCAGGUCAGCAUACUGCCGUGAAUACGUUCCCGGGCCUUGUACACACCGCCCGUCACACCAUGAGAGUUGGGAAUACCCGAAGCCUGUGAGCUAACGUUAAGAGGCAGCAGUCGAAGGUAGAAUCAAUGAUUGGGGUGAAGUCGUAACAAGGUAAC
rnacentral:rRNA from 1 species